CGUUUGCUUAACUUGAAUUUCUAUGGCUGGAUUGGUAUGAUAUGAUCGAGUAAAACUGUGGAAGUAAAUACAGGUUUUCUAGUUUCAAUUGGCUUCUGGGAGUGUUGACUUGUUUCAUACGAUUGAUAACUUGGAUCAAUCCCAAUUUUUCAAUGAAAUACUCAAGUUGAAUCUGAAUGGGGAACCCCUUUUAGCUACUAAAAUUCCUAUAUUAGAAACAAAGCGAAUAGUAUAAAAUCAUUUAUUCUGUUUGAUAUCAGCAUCUAGCAUUGACAUCAGCUGCAUAUUCUGUUAUAGAAGAACGUUGCACACUAGUAUUUAUAUUUACUUUUCCAAGUCUUGUGUUGGUGAUGUUUGUAGCCAGUAUAAAUGGGAUUAUCCCUUAUAGCUGCAUAUCUCUAUUUUAUAUUUCUAUAAACAGUGAUGGUAUUAUGUUUUGCUUGCUCCCCAUAAGAGCUUGUUCUUGUUGAUGUUUAAUGGCUUGUUUUCUCCUUUUAACUGUGUUUUAGGCAGGAAUAAGUUUCAAGGCAAUCUCUAUUGCACUACAAGAACACAUUUUCCUUAUCAUUUCAAUAUUUUAUGAAGCAGGAUUUUUUUUUAUACUGUUAUUGGGAACUGAUUGGUACUGUCAUUUUGAGCUAUUAACCAUUUUGUUGCUUGAUAGGUUUUUGCUUUGUUUAUGCAGUCAUGCCAAGGUUCAAGCGUUUCCACAACCCACAAAAAUCAGCGUCUGGAUCAUCAAUUGAAGCUUCUUCACAAUCAGCUCCUGAAGUCUCUCAAAAAUCCCCACCAUCGAAGAACCCCGUGAGUACACCAUCUUGGAAUAUUGAAGCAAUAGGUUGUAUGGAGUACUCUCCAAAAUAUAUCAUUGAUUUCUUUCCUAAUUGAUAUUACUCUAUUUGGAUGGGCAACCAAGCAAGUUAUAAAUGUUAUUCAGGUUGGUUCAUGAUACAUUUAUGCUUGAUAUUUAGAUGAUGAUUGAUGAGGUGUUGUAUAAUGUAUCUAUCUAGUUUUUUUACCAACCCCUACCCCAUAAUGAAAUGAGGAAGAAGAAGAGAAGCAAAGCAUGUAAGAGAAGAAGAGAAAAUCCAAACUCCAAAGAAAACCGAGCGGAACUUAAUAGUCUAUAUUUUUCAGUUUGGAAUAUUCAUCUUGACAGAGUAAUGGGAAAUUUGUAACCUUUGAGUUCCUGUAAUCUGAACUUUCUUUUAGCAUGACUCAGGAACUUCAUAUUGUGACCUGAUAAUUGGCUUCAAAGAUUUUUUUUACAUUCUAGCUA